AUAUUGGACAAUGGGCGCAAGCCUGAUCCAGCCAUGCCGCGUGAGUGAUGAAGGCCCUAGGGUUGUAAAGCUCUUUUACCAGGGACGAUAAUGACUGUACCUGGAGAAUAAGCCCCGGCUAACUUCGUUCCAGCAGCCGCGGUAAUACGAAGGGGGCUAGCGUUGCUCGGAAUCACUGGGCGUAAAGCGCACGUAGGUGGGUUUUUAAGUCAGGGGUGAAAUCCUGGAGCUCAACUCCAGAACUGCCUUUGAUACUGGAAAUCUUCGAGUCCGGGAGAGGUGGGUGGAACUGCGAGUGUAGAGGUGAAAUUCGUAGAUAUUCGCAAGAACACCAGUGGCGAAGGCGGCUCACUGGCCCGGUACUGACACUGAGGUGCGAAAGCGUGGGGAGCAAACAGG
rnacentral:rRNA from 1 species